CCAGACAUCACUCUGAUACAUGUGCUGCCGGGGGAUUGAACUUGGGACCUCAUACUUGAGAGUCCAAUGCUUUAUCCACUGCAGCACCUCCCAGACCAUGACUUUAGUCUUAAAAAUUUUUUUUGUUAUCUUUAUUUUUUGUAUAGAGAUAGCCAGAAAUUGAGAGGAAGGGGAAAAUAGGGAGAGGGGGAGGAAGAGAGAGACAGACUCUUGUAAUAGUGCUUCACUGUGAAGUUGUCCCCCUGCACGUGGGGACCAGGUACUUGAACCCAGGUCCUUGCACAUUGUAACAUACUGAGACAGGUGCACCACCACCUAGUCUUCAAGUAGUUUUCAGUCUUGAGUGUCUAGUUUGAAACAGCCAUCAUUUGAGAAGGCAACAGAAGCUCCUGUCAGCCUGUUGAGUGCUUCUUUUGGCACUUCUUGCUCACCACUCAACUGUGGAGGGACCACUUCUGGACAUGCUGCUGCAGAAUCAGUAUGGCCAGUCAUGGCUGCCAGUAUGUGGUUUCUGACCUACCACCAUACUCUCCCUGAUUUUUUUUCUAAAAUUAUCUUUAUUUAUUUAUUGGAUGAAGACAGCCAGAAAUUGAGAUGUGGGGGAGGACAGAGAGGAGGGAGAGAGACAUAUAUCUGCAACACUUUCACUACUGAAAAGCUUUCUGCCUACAGGUGGGGACCAGGGGCUUGAACCUGGGCCCUUGCACAUUACAACAUGUGCACUCAACCAGGUGGACCACCACCUGCCCCCUUCUCUCAGGUUUCUAGUAAUGCCCUCCCUUCAUCUGCUUCUGAUACUUUUUCACUCUGUCCCCUUGCCCCUCCUUCUGGUUCCUGUGCCUGUCAAGAUGAGCUCUAUGCCCAGAAACUGAAGUAUAAGGCCAUUAGCGAGGAGCUGGACCACGCCCUCAAUGACAUGACCUCUAUAUAACUACCACCGUUUCAGCUCUGUUCUGGAUCUACCCCUUUUCCUUGGGGAACCCAAUGCCCCAUUCGCUCUGGAUUCCAUUUGGACCAGCGUGAUCAGCCCCCAAGGCACUAGGCUGGGGAGGGGGUGUCUGUUACAAAGCAAUUUAUGUAUUCUCUUUCACCCUACCCUCCAUUAAAAUGUUAAGCUGCUGGAAGCCUGAA